GCGGGUAUAGUUCAGUGGUAGAACACUUCCUUGCCAAGGAAGCCGUCGCGCGUUCGAAUCGCGUUACCCGCU
rnacentral:tRNA from 1 species